rnacentral:rRNA from 1 species
AGAGAUGUGUGAUGACGCAUAUCAAUAAGCGGAGGAAAAGAAACUAACAAGGAUUCCCUUAGUAACGGCGAGUGAAGCGGGAAGAGCUCAAAUUUGAAAUCUUCAAGGGUUCUACCUUGACGAAUUGUAGUUUAUAAGAAGUGUUUUCUGUUAGUAGAGGUGGCUAAAAGUUCUUUGGAAUAGGACAUCAUAGAGGGUGAGAAUCCCGUAUUUGGUCAUUCUUUCUAGCUGUGUGAUACACUUUCAACGAGUCGGAUUGUUUGGGAAUGCAGUCCAAAAUGGGUGGUAAAUUUCAUCUAAAGCUAAAUAUUGGCGAGAGACCGAUAGCGAACAAGUACCGUGAGGGAAAGAUGAAAGGAACUUUGAAAAGAGAGUUAAACAGUACGUGAAAUUGUCAAAAGGGAAGCGUUUGACACCAGUGUUGUUUUUCCGAAAAUCAAUUACGAAUGUUUUAGUUUUUGAGGAGUUAUGACUUCAUCGGCUUGCUUCUCUCUUUAUGAAACUUUCUUAAUGCACUUUUCGGUUAACAAGUCAACAUCAAUUUCUUUUGUUGUAAAAGGGUAUGAGGAAGGUGGCUUUACUUUCGGAGUAAAGUGUUUAUAGCCUUGUACCUCUGCAAUCGGAGAGAUUGAGGUCUGCAGCGUAGAUCCUUCGGGGUUAGAUACAUUUGUGCUGAGUUAUAGCUUUUCAUAGACAACUUGUUGACUAUGUUUAGUCUUGUGACUUACUCGCUUAUGCUAUUUUACCUACGCUUAGGAUGUUGAGUCGUAGAGCACGCAG